GGGGUGAGUACAGUGGCGAACGGGUGAGUAACACGUGGGCAACCUGCCCCAGAGAGCGGGACAACCCGGGGAAACCCGGGCUAAUACCGCAUGAUGCGUCUCCGCUCAAGUGGAGACGCCAAAUGGUAGCUUCGGCCUCCGCUCUGGGAUGGGCCCGCGCCGGAUUAGCUUGUUGGUUGGGGUAAUGGCCCACCAAGGCGACGAUCCGUAGCUGGUCUGAGAGGACGAUCAGCCACACUGGGACUGAGACACGGCCCAGACUCC
rnacentral:rRNA from 1 species